rnacentral:tRNA from 1 species
GGAGAUAGCUCAGUUGGUAGAGUGCUUGCCUUGCAUGCACAAGGCCCUGGGUUCAAUCCCCAGCACCA